GGGCCCGCACAAGCGGUGGAGCAUGUGGUUUAAUUCGAUGAUACGCGAGGAACCUUACCAGGACUUAAAUGUAAGUUGCAUGAUUCAGAAAUGAAUCUUUCUUCGGACUACUUACAAGGUGCUGCAUGGUUGUCGUCAGCUCGUGCCGUGAGGUGUCAGGUUAAGUCCUAUAACGAGCGCAACCCCUACCGUUAGUUGCCAGCGUGUAAUGACGGGAACUCUAACAAGACUGCCGGUGCAAACCGUGAGGAAGGUGGGGAUGACGUCAAAUCAUCACGGCCCUUACGUCCUGGGCUACACACGUGCUACAAUGGCCGGUACAGAGAGCAGCCACUACGCGAGUAGGAGCGAAUCUCUUAAAGCUUGUCUCAGUUCGGAUAGGAGUCUGCAACUCGACUCCUUGAAGUUGGAGUCGCUAGUAAUCG
rnacentral:rRNA from 1 species